GAUGAACGCUGGCGGCGUGCCUAAUACAUGCAAGUCGAGCGAACAGAUGAGGAGCUUGCUCCUCUGACGUUAGCGGCGGACGGGUGAGUAACACGUGGAUAACCUACCUAUAAGACUGGGAUAACUUCGGGAAACCGGAGCUAAUACCGGAUAAUAUAUUGAACCGCAUGGUUCAAUAGUGAAAGACGGUUUUGCUGUCACUUAUAGAUGGAUCCGCGCCGCAUUAGCUAGUUGAUAAGGUAACGGCUUACCAAGGCAACGAUGCGUAGCCGACCUGAGAGGGUGAUCGGCCACACUGGAACUGAGACACGGUCCAGACUCCUACGGGAGGCAGCAGUAGGGAAUCUUCCGCAAUGGGCGAAAGCCUGACGGAGCAACGCCGCGUGAGUGAUGAAGGUCUUCGGAUCGUAAAACUCUGUUAUUAGGGAAGAACAAAUGUGUAAGUAACUAUGCACGUCUUGACGGUACCUAAUCAGAAAGCCACGGCUAACUACGU
rnacentral:rRNA from 1 species